ACUCGGCAGGGUGCAUCUCAGUGCAUAUGACCUGGACGUGUGCACCUAAGGAUCCUUAAAAUAAACACCAAGGUUGAAAGAAGGAAAACAUCA